GUGACAGCAACUGUUACAAAUUACAUUCAAAGGUCUUUAUUGGAUUUCCUGUUUAUUCUACACUGUUCUGAAUGCAAACUUAAUGAAGAACAUGCUCCAUGCUUCCUUCUACUACUUUCUUGUAUGGAUAACUUUUCUUUAAGCACCACAUUUCACUUCGAGCUAGAACCGUUGCAACAUGUUAACAACCAUAGAUGACUAAAGUUAUUUAUCUACAGAAAAGAUAUAUCCAGAGGCUAUGGAAAAUACUACAAAUCAUUUUACAUAUAAUAAACUGAUGCAGUGUCUUCAUAUAAGUGGUUGCCUUAAUUGCUAAUAGCCAAAAGUGUAGGUGACAGCUGCAAGAGUACAGUUGACUUUCAAAGAGUGAGUUCUACAGAAAGUGGAAGAGAUUGUUUACUAGCAGUUUCCAUUUGUAAAUAGUUGAAACUUUAACUGCAGAAUGUGAUCAAAAACAUUACUUCCUGAAGUAAAUCGAUAAUAACUAACAAAUUGGAUGAAUUGUAGACUUCAUCCUGAUACUUAGAGACUAUACUAUUUUCAGGUGUUGUGAUAUUAUUACUAGAAAAACGAGGAUUCAGUAGUACCCAUGAAUCUAUUGUUGCCUCCUAGAUGAUACUUAGAGAUAGUAUAACACACCUGAGUGCCAGGUGCAGUGAAAAUACUGGAAAAUCGAAAAUAUAAAUUUUCAUUGAUUGAAACUAAAAGUAAUUCUUCUUGCAGGAGGAUUCAGUAACACCCAUGAAUAUAUUGUUGCUUCAUAUAUGUUCCUUAGACAUAGUUUAACAAUUGUGAGUGGAAGCUGCAGUGAAAAUACUGGAAAAUCAAAAAAGUUAACUUUGAUUAAAACCCCAGAAAUAGAAUAAAAGUAUUUCUUCCUUCAGGAGGACAAGGGAGACUCAUGAAUCUAUUGUUAGCUCCCAGACAAUCCUUAGAGAUAGGAUAACAUAUCUCAGUACCAGAUGCAGUGAAUAUUUGGGAAAAUCAGUAAAAUGAAUUUUGUUCUUAACCGAAGGCACAGGCUAAAAGCGUUUUCUCUUGUAUGAGGAGUCACCAUC